rnacentral:Y_RNA from 1 species
AGCUGGUCCGGGCAGUGGUGUUUACAACAAAUUGAUCACAACCAGUUUCAGGUUUCUUUGUUCCUUUUCCACUCCCACUGUUUCACUUUAAAAACUAGAAAUUA